GACGAACGCUGGCGGCGUGCUUAACACAUGCAAGUCGAACGGAAAGGCCCCGCUUUUGUGGGGUGCUCGAGUGGCGAACGGGUGAGUAACACGUGAGUAACCUGCCCUUGACUUUGGGAUAACUUCAGGAAACUGGGGCUAAUACCGGAUAGGAGCUCCUGCUGCAUGGUGGGGGUUGGAAAGUUUCGGCGGUUGGGGAUGGACUCGCGGCUUAUCAGCUUGUUGGUGGGGUAGUGGCUUACCGAGGCUUUGACGGGUAGCCGGCCUGAGAGGGUGACCGGCCACAUUGGGACUGAGAUACGGCCCAGACUCCUACGGGAGGCAGCAGUGGGGAAUAUUGCACAAUGGGCGGAAGCCUGAUGCAGCAACGCCGCGUGCGGGAUGACGGCCUUCGGGUUGUAAACCGCUUUCGCCUGUGACGAAGCGUGAGUGACGGUAAUGGGUAAAGAAGCACCGGCUAACUACGUGCCAGCAGCCGCGGUGAUACGUAGGGUGCGAGCGUUGUCCGGAUUUAUUGGGCGUAAAGGGCUCGUAGGUGGUUGAUUGCGUCGGAAGUGUAAUCUUGGGGCUUAACCCUGAGCGUGCUUUCGAUACGGGUUGACUUGAGGAAGGUAGGGGAGAAUGGAAUUCCUGGUGGAGCGGUGGAAUGCGCAGAUAUCAGGAGGAACACCAGUGGCGAAGGCGGUUCUCUGGGCCUUUCCUGACGCUGAGGAGCGAAAGCGUGGGGAGCGAACAGGCUUAGAUACCCUGGUAGUCCACGCUGUAAACGGUGGGUACUAGGUGUGGGGUCCAUUCCACGGGUUCCGUGCCGUAGCUAACGCUUUAAGUACCCCGCCUGGGGAGUACGGCCGCAAGGCUAAAACUCAAAGGAAUUGACGGGGCCCCGCACAAGCGGCGGAGCAUGCGGAUUAAUUCGAUGCAACGCGUAGAACCUUACCUGGGUUUGACAUGGGUCGGGAGUGCUCAGAGAUGGGUGUGCCUCUUUUGGGGUCGGUUCACAGGUGGUGCAUGGCUGUCGUCAGCUCGUGUCGUGAGAUGUUGGGUUAAGUCCCGCAACGAGCGCAACCCUUGUUCACUGUUGCCAGCACGUUAUGGUGGGGACUCAGUGGAGACCGCCGGGGUCAACUCGGAGGAAGGUGGGGAUGACGUCAAGUCAUCAUACCCCUUAUGUCCAGGGCUUCACGCAUGCUACAAUGGCUGGUACAGAGAGUGGCGAGCCUGUGAGGGUGAGCGAAUCUCGGAAAGCCGGUCUCAGUUCGGAUUGGGGUCUGCAACCCGACCUCAUGAAGUCGGAGUCGCUAGUAAUCGCAGAUCAGCAACGCUGCGGUGAAUACGUUCCCGGGGCU
rnacentral:rRNA from 1 species